UGUGUAGGCCUGACUGUACUGGAACUCCC
rnacentral:piRNA from 1 species